CAGCCUGCCCAGUGACUACGGGUUCAACGGCCGCGGUAUUUUGACCGUGCAAAGGUAGCGCAAUCACUUGUCUUUUAAAUAGAGACCUGUAUGAAUGGCCAAACGAGGGCUUAACUGUCUCCCCCUUCAAGUCAGUGAAAUUGAUCUAUCCGUGCAGAAGCGGGUAUAAUAAUACAAGACGAGAAGACCCUUUGGAGCUUAAGGUACAAAAUUCAGCCACGUUAAACAACUCCACAAAAAGCAAAAACUUAGUGGAAUAUGAAGUUUUACCUUCGGUUGGGGCGACCGCGGAGGAAAAUAUAGCCUCCAAGUGGAAUGGGGUAAACCCCUAAAACCAUGAGAAACAUCUCUAAGCCGCAGAACAUCUGACCAAAAAUGAUCCGGCCAAACAGCCGAUCAACGAACCAAGUUACCCUAGGGAUAACAGCGCAAUCCUCUCCCAGAGUCCAUAUCGACGAGGGGGUUUACGACCUCGAUGUUGGAUCAGGACAUCCUAAUGGUGCAGCCGCUAU
rnacentral:rRNA from 1 species